ensembl:misc_RNA
UGUUUUGCAUAGGACGUAAACGCGGUUGGAGGCCAAGGUCAAGUUGAAUGUUGCUGUCUAGUCAUCCAG